UAGUCUGGUCACAUCACCACUUGAGUUUCUUUCUGGGCAACCCCUCUGAAGGAAGAAGGCUGAAGAAUUGCUUGACUUUGAGACUCCUUUACCUGGCUGAAUUGAAAAGAGUCUUGCCCAAUCAGCUGAUAUACAACUGGGUUUCCCUCAGGAAAAGUCAACCUUAUAUUUCUUUGAAGAGACUUUGAAUUGAAGCCUGUGAAGGGUGAAAUUAUGGUUGAGACUAAUAAAAUCUAAAUUUAAGUGGUCGCCAAGGGAAAUCCCAAAUAAUACAAUACCCAAGUCAGCUGCCAAUUUUUAUGGUGAUUUUAAUUGAUAUUAAAUAUUAAGAGAGAAGAUGAAGGAUUAAGGAGAAGAUUAAGAAGGAAGAAUGUAGGCUGAUCUUCUUCCUGGAGAAGAAAGUGAAAGGACUUGAAGGAUGCCUUCCCACACUGCAGUUGUAAGAGAGAAUGUUUCUUAAAGGAAACAGAAAAGAGACAUCAAUAGCAGAAAAAAAAAAGAAAUCUGAGGUGAAAGAGAGAAAACUUGACCAUAGUCAGAAUGAUAGAUAACGAGAGAAGAAGACAGGGGUGGGGGGAGGAGAGGACAGUGGUACAAUUAGAGGUUAAAGACAGAUUUUAGACUCUAAUUGAAAAGAAAAGAGCUAGAUAUUCUGAGGAAAAUGGAGCUGCUUAUCCUCCAAGGAACAAAUGCUAUCAGAUGAAAGAUAGUCCAAUAAAGGUCAGAGAAAGAAGAGAA